rnacentral:rRNA from 1 species
UACACUCCUGCGGGAGGCAGCAGUGGGGAAUAUUGGACAAUGGGCGAAAGCCUGAUCCAGCAAUGCCGCGUGAGUGAUGAAGGCCUUAGGGUUGUAAAGCUCUUUUACCCGGGAUGAUAAUGACAGUACCGGGAGAAUAAGCCCCGGCUAACUCCGUGCCAGCAGCCGCGGUAAUACGGAGGGGGCUAGCGUUGUUCGGAAUUACUGGGCGUAAAGCGCGCGUAGGCGGCUUUGUAAGUUAGAGGUGAAAGCCCGGAGCUCAACUUCGGAAUUGCCUUUAAGACUGCAUCGCUAGAAUCGUGGAGAGGUGAGUGGAAUUCCGAGUGUAGAGGUGAAAUUCGUAGAUAUUCGGAAGAACACCAGUGGCGAAGGCGACUCACUGGACACGUAUUGACGCUGAGGUGCGAAAGCGUGGGGAGCAAACAGGAUUAGAAACCCCUGUAGUCCCAUGAU